rnacentral:rRNA from 1 species
UACGGAGGGGGCGAGCGUUGUUCGGAGUUACUGGGCGUAAAGCGCACGUAGGCGGUGCGGUAAGUCAGGGGUUAAAGGCUGCAGCUCAACUGCAGUAAGGCCUUUGAUACUAUCGUGCUAGAGUGUCAGAGAGGAUGGCGGAAUUCCCGGUGUAGCGGUGAAAUUCGUAGAUAUCGGGAGGAACACCAGUAGCGAAGGCGGCCAUCUGGCUGAUAACUGACGCUGAGGUGCGAGAGCGUGGGGAGCAAACAGG